GACGAACGCUGGCGGCGUGCUUAACACAUGCAAGUCGAACGGUGAAGCGCCUUCCUUUUUGGUGGGUGUGGAUGAGUGGCGAACGGGUGAGUAACACGUGAGUAACCUGCCCCCUUCUUCUGGAUAACCGCAUGAAAGUGUGGCUAAUACGGGAUAUUCUGGGUCUGUCGCAUGAUGGGUCUGGGAAAGAUAUUGUUUCGGUGGGGGAUGGGCUCGCGGCCUAUCAGCUUGUUGGUGGGGUGAUGGCCUACCAAGGCGGUGACGGGUAGCCGGCCUGAGAGGGUGGACGGUCGCACGGGGACUGAGACACGGCCCAGACUCCUACGGGAGGCAGCAGUGGGGAAUAUUGCACAAUGGGCGCAAGCCUGAUGCAGCGACGCCGCGUGAGGGAUGGAGGCCUUCGGGUUGUGAACCUCUUUCGCCAGUGAAGCAUGCCUGCCUCGUUUGUGGGUGGGUUGACGGUAGCUGGAGAAGAAGCGCCGGCUAACUACGUG
rnacentral:rRNA from 1 species